rnacentral:misc_RNA from 1 species
CAGAAAUCACGUUCAAACAAAAAAUGCAAACCCAGAAUCCCGGCGAACAGAAAUCAUCAUCUUCUCCUUCUCAUUCUCAAAUCUCUGUUUCCUCCUCCUACUCCUCCUCAAGCGAAGGUUGCAUCCAUAACCCCAAAUCAGACCUUCGCUGCCUUUCAUCCACUGUCGAGACUCGAACACAUAACCCCAGAUCAGACCUCCUUCUUCUUCGAUAACUGCUCCUUCAUCCCACCUGCUUCGUGUAAUAAUCAG